rnacentral:rRNA from 1 species
AUUGAACGCUGGCGGCAUGCCUUACACAUGCAAGUCGAACGGCAGCACGGGAGCAAUCCUGGUGGCGAGUGGCGAACGGGUGAGUAAUAUAUCGGAACGUGCCCAGUCGUGGGGGAUAACGUAGCGAAAGCUACGCUAAUACCGCAUACGAUCUAUGGAUGAAAGCGGGGGAUCGCAAGACCUCGCGCGAUUGGAGCGGCCGAUAUCAGAUUAGGUAGUUGGUGAGGUAAAGGCUCACCAAGCCGACGAUCUGUAGCUGGUCUGAGAGGACGACCAGCCACACUGGGACUGAGACACGGCCCAGACUCCUACGGGAGGCAGCAGUGGGGAAUUUUGGACGAAUGGGCGCAAGCCUGAUCCAGCAAUGCCGCGUGCAGGAUGAAGGCCUUGGUGUAAC